rnacentral:rRNA from 1 species
UGGGGAAUAUUGCACAAUGGGCGAAAGCCUGAUGCAGCAACGCCGCGUGAGCGAAGAAGGUCUUCGGAUCGUAAAGCUCUGUCCUUGGGGAAGAUAAUGACGGUACCCUUGGAGGAAGCCCCGGCUAACUACGUGCCAGCAGCCGCGGUAAUACGUAGGGGGCAAGCGUUAUCCGGAAUUAUUGGGCGUAAAGGGAGCGCAGGCGGGAUAGCAAGUCAGCUGUGAAAACUAUGGGCUCAACCCAUAAACUGCAGUUGAAACUGUUAUUCUUGAGUGGAGUAGAGGCAAGCGGAAUUCCGAGUGUAGCGGUGAAAUGCGUAGAUAUUCGGAGGAACACCAGUGGCGAAGGCGGCUUGCUGGGCUCUAACUGACGCUGAGGCUCGAAAGUGUGGGGAGCAAAC